rnacentral:misc_RNA from 1 species
UCUCCGUUGGUGAACCAGCGGAGGGAUCAUUACCGAGUGCAAACUCAUAACCCUUUGUGAACCUAUAUCUGUUGCUUCGGCGGCUCGCUCUCGGGCGAGCCCGCCGGUAAUAUCAGUAUCUCUGUUUGAACCCGACGAUACUUCUGAGUGUUCUUAGCGAACAGUUAAAACUUUUAACAACGGAUCUCUUGGCUCUAGCAUCGAUGAAGAACGCAC